AACAAACGCUGGCGGCGUGCCUAACACAUGCAAGUCGUACGAGAAAGGGUCCUUCGGGACCUGAGUAAAGUGGCGCACGGGUGAGUAACGCGUGGAUAAUCUGCCCUUCAGUUGGGAACAACUCAUCGAAAGGUGGGCUAAUACCGAAUAACACUGUGAGACUUUGGUCGAGCAGUCAAAGAGAGCCUCUGCUUGCAAGCCCUCGCUGAAGGAUGAGUCCGCGUACCAUUAGCUAGUUGGUAGGGUAAUGGCCUACCAAGGCGACGAUGGUUAGCUGGUCUGAGAGGAGGAUCAGCCACACUGGAACUGAGAUACGGUCCAGACUCCUACGGGAGGCAGCAGUGAGGAAUCUUGCGCAAUGGGGGAAACCCUGACGCAGCAACGCCGCGUGAGUGAGGAAGGUCUUCGGAUCGUAAAGCUCUGUCAGUUGGGAAGAAAUGCCUGAGGGUUAAUACCCUUCAGGCUUGACGGUACCAACAGAGGAAGCACCGGCUAACUCCGUGCCAGCCGCCGCCGCGG
rnacentral:rRNA from 1 species